GUGAAUCAUCAAAUUUUUGAACGCAAAUUGCACUCUCUUUGGAGAGUAUGCCUGUUUGAGGGUCAGUAAUAAUAAAAUCGGUUUGGUUGCAAAUUGUUACGUUUCCGGAGUUUGGGCUAUCUUAACUUUUUUGGUUAAGGGGCUUAAAAUUGACCUUAUUUGCGCAUUUUUAGACGUACAUAAAUUUUUUUUUAUUCGUCUAUUCUUAAUGCCAACAUCUUAUUAUAUGCGCUCACAUCGUGUUGUUUCGUGUCCCUAAAAUUUUCAUGAUUUGACCUCACAUCAGGUAGGAGUACCCGC
rnacentral:misc_RNA from 1 species